rnacentral:rRNA from 1 species
GCCCUUCGGGGUGGAUUAGUGGCGAACGGGUGAGUAACACGUGGGCAAUCUGCCCUUCACUCUGGGACAAGCCCUGGAAACGGGGUCUAAUACCGGAUACCACUCCUGCCCGCAUGGGCGGGGGUUGAAAGCUCCGGCGGUGAAGGAUGAGCCCGCGGCCUAUCAGCUUGUUGGUGGGGUAAUGGCCCACCAAGGCGACGACGGGUAGCCGGCCUGAGAGGGCGACCGGCCACACUGGGACUGAGACACGGCCCAGACUCCUACGGGAGGCAGCAGUGGGGAAUAUUGCACAAUGGGCGAAAGCCUGAUGCAGCGACGCCGCGUGAGGGAUGACGGCCUUCGGGUUGUAAACCUCUUUCAGCAGGGAAGAAGCGAAAGUGACGGUACCUGCAGAAGAAGCGCCGGCUAACUACGUGCCAGCAGCCGCGGUAAUACGUAGGGCGCAAGCGUUGUCCGGAAUUAUUGGGCGUAAAGAGCUCGUAGGCGGCUUGUCACGUCGGAUGUGAAAGCCCGAGGCUUAACCUCGGGUCUGCAUUCGAUACGGGCUAGCUAGAGUGUG